rnacentral:rRNA from 1 species
AGUGAACGCUGGCGGCGUGCUUAACACAUGCAAGUCGAACGAGAACGGAAUAUAGCUUGCUAUAUUUGUCAGCUAAGUGGCGCACGGGUGAGUAAUGUAUAGAUAACCUGCCCUUAAGAAAGGAAUAACAGUUGGAAACGACUGCUAAUGCCCUAUAUGCCUUUAAUACAUAAGUAUGCAAGGGAAACGCUUUAGUGCUUAAGGAUGGGUCUGUAUGGUAUCAGCUUGUUGGUGAGGUAAUGGCUCACCAAGGCUAUGACGCCUAACUGGUUUGAGAGGAUGAUCAGUCACGCUGGAACUGAGACACGGUCCAGACUACUACGGGAGGCAGCAGUGGGGAAUAUUGCACAAUGGACGAAAGUCUGAUGCAGCAACGCCGCGUGGAGGAUGACACAUUUCGGUGCGUAAACUCCUUUUAUAUAGGAAGAUAAUGACGGUACUAUAUGAAUAAGCACCGGCUAACUCCGUGCCAGCCGCCGCAGUAA